AUUGAACGCUGGCGGCAGGCCUAACACAUGCAAGUCGAACGAGUGGCGGACGGGUGAGUAAUGUCUGGGAAACUGCCCGAUGGAGGGGGAUAACUACUGGAAACGGUAGCUAAUACCGCAUACCAUCGGAUGUGCCCAGAUGGGAUUAGCUAGUAGGUGGGGUAACGGCUCACCUAGGCGACGAUCACUAGCUGGUCUGAAAGGAUGAUAAGCGAGACGGGAGCUGAUGCACGGUCCAGAGUCCUACGGGAGGCAGCAGUGGGGAAUAUUGCACAAUGGGCGCAAGCCUGAUGCAGCCAUGCGGCGUGUAUGAGGAAGGCCUUCGGGUUGUAAAGUACUUUCAGCGAGGAGGCGUUACUCGCAGAAGGAGCACCGGCUAACACCGUGCAAGCAGCCGCGGUAAUAC
rnacentral:rRNA from 1 species